CUUUCUUCUCAAAUCUCAUAAUCCCUUCAAUUGAUGAGAUUUUUAGAAAUACAUGGUCGCCUACUUCGAAUUCUAAAUCUCUUCUUUGAUUUUUGGCUUAAUUUUUCCUAUUUUGAGCUGUCAAAAAAUGUUUUUUGAUCAAUUUCACUUUUUCUAUAGUUUCUUCUACUAAUUCAGGUCAAACUUGUUUUCGUUCUCCAACUUAUUCCCAACAAAUAGGUGAUCUGUAGGGUCUUCUGUACAAAGCCUCAUAAGGUCCCAUUUGAAUGUUGGACUAAUAACUAUUGUUAUACGCGAACUCAAUCAGAGGUAAAUGAUCAUUCCAAUUACCUCACAACUCAAUGAU
rnacentral:lncRNA from 1 species